GUGAGUCAUCGAAUCUUUGAACGCACCUUGCGCCCUUUGGUAUUCCGAAGGGCAUGCCUGUUUGAGUGUUAUUAAUACCUCACUCUUGAAGUCUUUUAUUGGAUUUCAAGAUGUGGACUUUGGAGGUUUGCAGGCUAUCACUAGUCAGCUCCUCUUAAAUGUAUUAGCGGAACUCUAUGCAGUACCGGCUUCAGUUUGAUAAUCCUAUCUAUGCUGUCGCUGUGAACUGUGAUGUUUGGCUUAUAAUUGUCUUCGGACUGCUAUUCUAGCAUAAUUUAAGCUUAACCUCAAAUCAGGUAG
rnacentral:misc_RNA from 1 species